rnacentral:rRNA from 1 species
GAUGAACGCUGACAGAAUGCUUAACACAUGCAAGUCGAUUCGAUUUACCUUCGGGUAUUGAGGAUGGCGGACGGGUGAGUAACGCGUAAGGAACUUGCCUCUUGGUCUGGGACAACUGUUGGAAACGACAGCUAAUACCGGAUAUUAUGAGAUUCUCGCAUGGGAAACUUAUGAAAGCUAUAUGCGCCAAGAGAGAGCCUUGCGUUCCAUUAGCUAGUUGGUGGGGUAACGGCCCACCAAGGCGACGAUGGAUAGCCGGCCUGAGAGGGUGAACGGCCACAAGGGGACUGAGACACGGCCCUUACUCCUACGGGAGGCAGCAGUGGGGAAUAUUGGACAAUGGGCCACAAGCCUGAUCCAGCAAUUCUGUGUGCACGAUGAAGGUCUUCGGAUUGUAAAGUGCUUUCAGUUGGGAAGAAGAAAGUGACGGUACCAACAGAAGAAGCGACGGCUAAAUACGUGCCAGCAGCCGCGGUAAUACGUAUGUCGCAAGCGUUAUCCGGAUUUAUUGNGCGUAAAGCGCGUCUAGGCGGAAAAAUAAGUCUGAUGUUAAAAUGCGGGGCUCAACUCCGUAUUGCGUUGGAAACUGUUUUUCUAGAGUACUGGAGAGGUGGGCGGAACUACAAGUGUAGAGGUGAAAUUCGUAGAUAUUUGUAGGAAUGCCGAUGGAGAAGUCAGCUCACUGGACAGAUACUGACGCUAAAGCGCGAAANCGUGGGGAG